CUUUGGUUGACAACACAGGUGACUCCUCCAGUAAGCAGCAUCCACUUCUUACAGUAGUAUGAUGGUCAACAAUAAUGACUCAAUAGAUGACUUGGGCCAUGACCAAGAUUUUCUGCAUGCAAGGCAGUUAUGUUAUUUGGACAACUCUGAUUUGCUACCUCAGAAGUUGGCUUGCAGUGUAACCGAGACUGAAAUUAAUGAUGCAAGUGGCACCCUAGAAACGUUGAUUCCUUGUCUACUCCCUGCCUCAGAGUCUGGAAUGAACCAGGGUGCUCCCACUGACAAAAACAUGGAACAGACUGCAGGGCAGCAGGAUGGAGCACUGAGGCUGCAGAUGGAGCAGCUGCAGAGGCUGGUGGCAGAACAGCAGAAAAUCAUUGCACUUUACAACCCAGGGUUUUCUGUUUCUCCUGUGAUACCUUCCCAUCUAGCAGCCGCGAUGUCAUCCCUUCCAUGCUUUCCUUCUACUUUAUCUCCUGCCCAGUUGCCACCUGAAAAUUCUUCACAAGUUGAGAGCCCAGGAUGCUUAGAGACCUCUCCCUCAGCAGUGCCUUCUGCCCUGCAGAGCAGCUCCCCUCCACUGGUGCCAAAUGAGAGCGGCUCAGAAAUCUCAGGAGAGCACCUGCAGCUGUCAGAUUCAGGGAUAAGCACAGAGCCAUUGCUUCAGAGUACUGAGAGCCCCACAAAACAGCUUUCCAGACAAGAUGCUCAGGAAGAAACCAGAACAAAAAACAAAGAUAACAGUCAAUUAAAAGAAAGGACUUUCCCUGAAACUUUUUCUGCAGUUGAAGAACAAACAGAACAAAUGAAGGAGAUUCUUCCAUCUCCCUUCAGCACGAAGGUAAAGACUGGAAACCUAGGAAACAGGCCAAUCACAGCAGGAAUUGAUAUUAGACAGAAGGCUUCUGAAAAAUUUAUUGACCAGCAUCAGGUAGACACUCAGUUGAUAGAAAAACAGGAGCAGAAUCAGCAGAGCAAGGCAAAAGGAACACCUCGGAAGAGUUUUCUGAAGCGAAAAGAAGGUACUGUAAGGGUCAAAAAAAGUAAACAGAAGCCUUUCAAAGAAGUGAGCCAGCAUUCCAGAACUGAUGUGGGGCACUGGAGUCUUUUCUCCCAGCCGGGACAAAUGGAUGCAGGGAUACUGCAGCCAAGGGAAUACCCUCAUGUAAAUCUGCAAGUCAGCAGCUCCAUGCAUAUAGGUACACAUGGAAAAAAGGCAAACUGUGCUUUAGCUGAGAAGGGAAUUAAGGCUCAGACUGACUGUGAAGUGAAAGUACGGGAGCAAAGUGCAGAAGAAAAAGUAGUGAUUAGGAGAGAUGAAGAUGCUGUUGGCUCACCUCAUAAGAAGUGGACUGAAAUCAUGAACUCAUGUCCUGAAACAACAGAAAUGAACCUACAAUUAGGUGGGGAAAGUGAAACUAAUCACAAGGAUUCCCUAGAGCAAGCUGACAGAACUGAUGGAAGACUUAUGAAGGAUACACUGCAAAUAAACCUAGGUAGAACAAAUCAGCUUCUACAGGGUGAGCUCAGAGAGGAAGAAGAAAGCCCUUUGGAAGUCCUGCAAAAGUGUUCUACACUUCAGGGUAUAGAAUCAGAACGUAUGAGGAAAGGAGAGUGGAGUGCAGUCCCUGCAUUCACACAGGGCCAGAAGCAUGUGCAGGUAUGCCCACAAGAACUUGUUUCAGGGAGCCAGAGCCCAGAAAGCAAAGGACAAAUCCACACUGGUUUUAAGAAGGUCAAUGAUAAGAUCAUAAAAAUUACUUGUAACUCGCUUGAGACUGUGGAGCAAGGAAGCUCAUCCGAGCAGGAAUGGCAAAGGAACGGGACAGCUGCCAUGACAUGGCAUGUUGCAUCUUCAUCCCAUGGGUCAGGCUGCUUAUCCUCCAGUAGUGAUGAUGACCCCAAAUCUCAUUGCAGUCAAUAUCCCUCCCAGCAUGGGCCUCAGGUAGCAGAUCAUUCUGACAGACAUUUGGAUCUCUCUGAAAAUGAUUAUGCUAGUGAUGAGCCCAGUGAAACUGAACAAAUCUCCAUGAAAAAGAACAUCAGUUCCUCCUCAAGAAAACAAGAUGUUCUAGCACUCUCAAGACAUCAAAGUCUCUCCCUCAGCACAAGCAGCAGUGAUUCCAGCACUGGAGCUGUCAACCUGAAAGGGAGCAAGGCUCACUCUUCUCUUCAGCAUUCUGCAUUUCAUCUCACAAAAUCCAAAAGGAGAGAGGAUGAACCUGAAUCAAAGGCCAGGCAUGUUACAAGCCUUAAUCUGCCAUCCUCAGCAGUGGUUUUUAGGGUUAAAGGAGCCCCUGCAGUGAAGCAACCACAGAAUAAACUGCCUACAAAUAUGUUAGAAGAAACCCAGAACAUCCUUUCCAGAGGAUUAGAAACUGGUGUAUAUCAUGGCGGAACCCUUUCACUGACUGGAGCAGAAGAAGAACAGGACAAAGCAAUGCAUUUUCUCAGCAGAAUACGAAUGGACCAACUCAAGGCUGUCAGGGGCCAGCAAUACAACAGAGAGCAAACUGACACAAAGGUGCAUAGCAAGUUCAAAGGAACAGCUAGAGUCAUUGGAGAAAGUGUGAAAUCAGAGGAAAUACAAAUAUUAAAGCAACAGAUUACAAGACUGCAGGAGGAGUUCAGGAGAAAUGAGUCCUGCUGGCAUGCUGCCUAUGGCAAGCUAAGAGACCAGGUUGAGAUGCUGACUAGGCAGAACAUGGAGCUUCGAGAUGAGCUCAGAGGUUCAGAACAGAAGAGGCUGAAAGCAGAAAGAAAAACAGGAACUGUGAAUCUCGUUGACAGAAAAUCAGAGACACCGGUUGCACAAGCUAUCCUGCGAGAAACAGCAUCUUUGUCCACACAAGAAGAGAGAUCACGGAGAGAGAAGCACAAGAACUGUAUCACCUCUCAUGUGGGGCCACAGGCAGCUUUGCAGGAACAUUGCUUCAGAGAUAUUAAUAGCAAAGCAAGCUCUGUACAAAAGGCUGAUCCAUUGAGACUGGUAACAAAGGAACAUCAAGAAAAGAAACCAUCUCACUGCUCCCUUGGCAGAAGCACAACACCAACUGGCAGGACAACACCUCACCAGGGAAGAGUGACACCUUUUGAAUCAGAAGAAGUUGUACACCAACUCUCUCCUACUGGGAGAAGAACAGAUGAGAGGAAAUCACCUGGAACUGGCUCACAUCUGACUAUUUCCAAGGGGCGUAAGUCAUCUUCUUAUGAAAAAGGCACACCUUCACCCAUUUCAAUUAUCUCAGAAGACAUGUUCCUCUCAAACAAGCACAGCAAUAACACUUGCAGCUUUGCACUCUGCAGUUACAGGGAGGAAACACAGGAAGAAGAGAUUCCUAAUCUUAAAAAGACAGAAAAAAUGUUAAAACCUCAGAAUAAAGUGGCUUUUGCAACGACCCUAAGGAGAAGUGGCAUAACUGCAUAUGAGAACAAAGUACUUACAAGCAGUUCUCCUACUCUUCUGGAUGCUGAAGCAAAGAUACAGCCUCCAAAAUCAAUAUUAUCUAGAAGGUCAAUGUUACAUCAAGAAAGAAGAAAAAAUGAGGACAUGGUGCAGGAAAAAAUAGAGCAUCGUGAUGGAAAGGUGAGAUAAAUUAAGGUGCUUGAAGAGAUCACCAACAGGGCUGCAACAGAUAGUAAUUGCCACUUCAAGUAGUCAUAGAGAAUUAUCUCUCAAAGAGUCCUUAAUGAAGAGCUUAAGUAUAAAGUUCACGUUAUAAGUAGCAGGAAAUUAUAUAUAGCUGAUGGGAUGGAAAUCAAGUAAGCAAUUUUUCUUAUCUCCUACUGUACUGACUGAGGGUAAUCUAUGUCCAAUCACAGUUGUCAAUUCUUGAUAAGCCUUAGGAUAUAUGAAGUUCAGACAGUAAAGUAAAACACAGGUUGCUGUGUCUAUUCAGUUCAGAGCUUCUCCUGUCAAUACACGUGUUGAUUAAUGAUACUUUCCAGUAAGCACACACGGAAAAGGCCUUUGCAAUGUAACAUUGUUCAGGGGAAACUGGUUUGAUGUACCUAUUAUUUUAUAGCUAGUGCUGAGAUAGACUGUGUGAAAAUUUCUACCAAUCACAUUUCCUUCUCAUAGAAAUAGAAAAUACAUUAUUCAUUGUUUUGGUCCUUGUGAAAAAGUCCUUUUUACCACUGUAUUUGAUUCAUAAAACUUAUUGUUGGACACGGCUUAUUCAACAUGAGAGUGGCCAAAAGGUGGAUUGAGUCAUUAAUUCUUAUUUAAACUAACUGGAACUUUUUCUAACAAGGCCUUUGUAUUAAGUAUCUAUAAGAAUAUCUUUCUAUAACUGACUAGUUUUUUCUAAACAAAAAUAUUUCUAAAACUAAGAUCUUGCCCUCACUAUUUGUCCCCUUUCCCUGAAGAUAUUUAUUCCUUCUUGUCUUGUUGGGACAUGUGCUUUUUUUUUUCUGUAGACAACACUGGAAAUACAAGGAAAAGCUAUAGUGCACCCUAUGGUUGUCUUCUUUUUUUUUAGAGUUUGCUAAAUGAAUUAAAU
ensembl:lncRNA